rnacentral:tRNA from 2 species
GCGCCCGUAGCUCAAUUGGAUAGAGCGUUGGACUACGAAUCCAAAGGCUAGAGGUUCGAUCCCUCUCGGGCGCG